AGUGAACGCUGGCGGUAGGCCUAACACAUGCAAGUCGAACGGCAGCACAGUAAGAGCUUGCUCUUACGGGUGGCGAGUGGCGGACGGGUGAGGAAUACAUCGGAAUCUACUUUUUCGUGGGGGAUAACGUAGGGAAACUUACGCUAAUACCGCAUACGACCUACGGGUGAAAGCAGGGGAUCUUUGGACCUUGCGCGAUUGAAUGAGCCGAUGUCGGAUUAGCUAGUUGGCGGGGUAAAGGCCCACCAAGGCGACGAUCCGUAGCUGGUCUGAGAGGAUGAUCAGCCACACUGGAACUGAGACACGGUCCAGACUCCUACGGGAGGCAGCAGUGGGGAAUAUUGGACAAUGGGCGCAAGCCUGAUCCAGCCAUACCGCGUGGGUGAAGAAGGCCUUCGGGUUGUAAAGCCCUUUUGUUGGGAAAGAAAGGCAGCAGGUUAAUACCCCGCUGUUCUGACGGUACCCAAAGAAUAAGCACCGGCUAACUUCGUG
rnacentral:rRNA from 1 species